rnacentral:rRNA from 1 species
GACGAACGCUGGCGGCGUGCUUAACACAUGCAAGUCGUACGGUAAGGCCCUUUCGGGGGUACACGAGGGGCGGACGGGUGAGUAACACGUGAGUAACCUGCCCACAACUUUGGGAUAACGCUAGGAAACUGGUGCUAAUAAUGCUAAUAUGCUCCUGCUGCAACGUGGGGGAUGGAAAGAUCCGGCGGUUGUGGAUGGACUCGCGGCCUAUCGGCUUGUUGGUGGGGUAGUGGCGUACCAACGCGGCGACGGGUAGCCGGCCUGAGAGGGUGACCGGCCACAUUGGGACUGAGAUACGGCCCAGACUCCUACGGGUGGCAGCAGUGGGGAAUAUUGCACAAUGGGCGCAAGCCUGAUGCAGCAACGCCGCGUGCGGGAUGACGGCCUUCGGGUUGUAAACCGCUUUCAGCAGGGACGAAGCUUUUUGUGACGGUACCUGCAGAAGAAGCACCGGCUAACUACGUG